UGAGCAAUCUGCCCUUCUCAUCGGAAUAAGCGUUGGAAACGACGUCUAAUGCCGAAUACGACCUCCUUUCGCAUGAUCGGAGGUGGAAAGCUCCGGCGGAGAAGGAUGAGCUCGCGGCCUAUCAGCUAGUUGGUGUGGGUAAUGGCCCACAAGGCGACGACGGGUAGCCGGCCUGAGAGGGUGACCGGCCACACGUGGGACUGAGACACGGCCCAGACUCCGUACGGG
rnacentral:rRNA from 1 species